rnacentral:lncRNA from 1 species
UCUUUCUAGCCCAGAGACACCAGACUCCAGACUCAGGCUUUGUCUGGGGUGGAGGUUCCUUCAGGUCCCUGGUCACGGAGGGUAUUGGCAUAAAGGUACUGGUGACUGUGAGGGCUCUGAAUAAUGCCAGCUGAUCUUUGCCAGCGGUGGCACCCACUGCUUCCCCCUAGGGCAAGCCCUGCCCUCCCUGAGAAGCUCAGCAAGGUGUGUCAUCGCCACCCUCCCCAAAGCCUGGGCCAGUUUAGGCUGCGUUCAGUCUCUAAGGCUUCCUCACCGGGUAAGGAGCAGAACCCAGCUGGGCAGGAGGAUGGGCCGGGAGGGCCCCGCACAUCCGGAGCAACAGCACAGACUCCUGCUGGCUCUGGUUGCCAGCCUCCUCCUCACUUGUGGGCCAGGCAAAACGAAGUCUUCACCUACCAAUGACAAAAGUACCAGAAAUUCUCAAACUGAGUUUUCGAUCAUGAAAAACACCCAAAAUUUGAUCACGACGUCCAUGGGAAAAAGUCAACACUCCAAAAGUGAGGCAUCCACGCCGACACUAGGUAAAACGCCACGGACCGUGACAACCAUGACGGGCAGCCUAGGGGGCAGCACACCUCCCCGUGAGGCAAGCUCUCUGGGCCCCACGGCCCGGCCGACAAAGCCUGCCUCCUCCUCAGUGGGGACCUGGU